CAAUAAAUUUCUAUCUUUGCAGGACUUUCGGAAAAGGGAAUCGCGUGGAAAUCGCGAGCUGUCCCCGCAACUGUAAAUCACGAUUGAGGAUUUCUCAAAGUUUGCCGCAAUUUUUUGCCACUGUUGUAAAAUGGGAAGGCGCGGCAAAGUGAAAGCCAGGAGACCUUGCUGAAAGUGCUCUAAUAA
rnacentral:ncRNA from 1 species